rnacentral:rRNA from 1 species
GACGAACGCUGGCGGCGUGCUUAACACAUGCAAGUCGUACGGUAAGGCCCUUUCGGGGGUACACGAGUGGCGAACGGGUGAGUAACACGUGAGUAACCUGCCCACAACUUUGGGAUAACGCUAGGAAACUGGUGCUAAUACUGGAUAUGUGCUCCUGCUGCAUGGUGGGGGUUGGAAAGCUCCGGCGGUUGUGGAUGGACUCGCGGCCUAUCAGCUUGUUGGUGGGGUAGUGGCCUACCAAGGCGGCGGCGGGUAGCCGGCCUGAGAGGGUGACCGGCCACAUUGGGACUGAGAUACGGCCCAGACUCCUACGGGAGGCAGCAGUGGGGAAUAUUGCACAAUGGGCGCAAGCCUGAUGCAGCAACGCCGCGUGCGGGAUGACGGCCUUCGGGUUGUAAACCGCUUUCAGCAGGGACGAAGCUUUUUGUGACGGUACCUGCAGAAGAAGCACCGGCUAACUACGUG